GGCCAGCCACUAGGCCUCCAGGACAAGUGUGCUCCACAGUAGGCAGUGGCUGGCCAGCCACAAGGUCAGUUAUAGGUUAGGGCGGAGCCCUGCUUGCCAGCAGCUGACCAGCCUCAAGGUCUACAAAGUUUAGGCAGGGCCCCAGCUUGCAGGCCACACAACCAACAGAGUUUAAGCUUGGCCAGGAUUGACCCAGUCCAGGCAUGUCAUUACAGUAGGACAAACCAAGCCUAAGGUCAGACAUCCAAUGCCAAGAAAAUUUCCAUACAUGGGCAGUGGGCUUGUCUUCCAUUUCACUGUUUAUUUUAUUUUAUGCAAUGAAUGAUUGUUUCAAUAUUAAAUCCAUUUUACAGCACACAAACAUCUUGAGAUGUAGUUACAAGGCCUUGAUAAAGUAAAUGACCCUCCUUAUGGAAAUAUGUUCUGUCUUUCUAAUCAUUCAACAUGGCAUCAAAAGGUUCCAAUGUGAGAGGAUUGCACAUGUAAAGAACAGUAAUACCGAUACAAGAUUUCUUAAGGUUACAACUGCAGAUA
rnacentral:misc_RNA from 1 species